rnacentral:rRNA from 1 species
UGCAGUCGAGCGGACCGACGGGAGCUUGCUCCCUUAGGUUAGCGGCGGACGGGUGAGUAACACGUGGGUAACCUGCCUGUAAGACUGGGAUAACUCCGGGAAACCGGGGCUAAUACCGGAUGCUUGAUUGAACCGCAUGGUUCAAUUAUAAAAGGUGGCUUUUAGCUACCACUUACAAAUGGACCCGCGGCGCAUUAGCUAGUUGGUGAGGUAACGGCUCACCAAGGCAACGAUGCGUAGCCAACCUGAAAGGGUGAUCGGCCACACUGGGACUGAAACACGGCCCAAACUCCUACGGGAGGCAGCAGUAGGGAAUCUUCCGCAAUGGACGAAAGUCUGACGGAGCAACGCCCCGUGAGUGAUGAAGGUUUUCGGAUCGUAAAACUCUUUUGUUAGGGAAAAACAAGUACCGUUCAAAUAGGGCGGUACCUUGACGGUACCUAACCAAAAAGCCACGGCUAACUACGUGCCACCAGCCGCGGUAAUACGUAGGUGGCAAGCGUUGUCCGGAAUUAUUGGGCGUAAAGCGCGCGCAGGCGGUUUCUUAAGUCUGAUGUGAAAGCCCCCGGCUCAACCGGGAAGGGUCAUUGGAAACUGGGGAACUUGAGUGCAAAAAAGGAAAGUGGAAUUCCACGUGUAGCGGUAAAAUGCGUAAAGAUGUGGAGGAACACCAGUGGCGAAGGCAACUCUCUGGUCUGUAACUGACGCUAAGGCGCGAAAGCGUGGGGGAGCGAACAGGAUUAGAUACCCCUGGUAGUCCACGCCGUAAACAAUAAGGGCUAAGUGUUAAAAGGGUUUCCGCCCCUUUAGUGCUGCAGCAAAACGCAUUAAGCCACUCCGCCCUGGGGAAGUACGGUCCGCAAAGACUGAAAACUCAAAGGAAUUUGAACGGGGGCCCGCCACAAGCGGUGGAACCAUGGUGGUUUAAUUCCAAAGCAACCGCGAAAAAACCUUUACCAAGGUCUUGGACAUCCUUCUGA